GUCCCUGUAGCUCAGCUGGAUAGAGCAACGGACUUCUAAUCCGUAGGUCGGGGGUUCGAAUCCCUCCGGGGACGCCA
rnacentral:tRNA from 1 species